CACGUCAUAAGCAUAAAAGGUAAUAAUUGUUUCCUUUAAAAACCCAACCCACAGACACAAGUCUUCACAAAGUUAGAUUCCAUAAGUUUGGAAAACAUUUACUCCAUUGCUAUCCACUACAAAUAAUUUUUUCAAUGGAUUGACAAAUACAUUAAAUUUUCUUGAAUGCAACAGAAUUUCAGAGCUUGUAGCCUAGAUUUAGACAUAAACAAGGAAAAUCAUGUUUCCUGAAAUGUUUUUCAUUCAAAACAAAAUAGCAGCAGAACCUUUUUUUUUUUUUUUAGUUUCCUUUGCUACUCAGCUCCUCUGCAAAGGAAUUUUAUAAGGCACCAAGACAGAGGAGCCGAGUGAUCAUCCAGUGCAAGGGGAAGCCCUUGAAGGAUACAAGCAGACAACAAUAAAAGACACAGAACGCAGAACGUUACAGCGGGGAGCAAGGGGAAAGAAAGCCAGGAAACCACACCACUCUCUGCUCUGUGUACAGAAGGUCCCUCCAGAUGCCCAUUGUCGCCCUGGGCAGGAACUGACAUUAAUUGAGUGCUUAAUAUUGAAGACUUGGGCCAGGCUGGAUCUCAGAGGCCAAAUCUGUACCGAAAGGCUCACCUGCUGGGAACCUCUCUAACUGGCACUGGAAAAUCCACAGAAUAAAACGGAACUGUGGUGUCAGCUAUCCCAGGCUUCCAACCUGGGAAAUAAAGAAAGGGCAUCUUCCUAAACUGCAUUCCAGACAACUGAAUUGUGACCUCAGGAACCGAUAUUCAAAGACGAUCAGUUAGAAGGGGAGUGACACUGUAUCCUAGAGUUGAUCCCUCCUUUAUGGCACAGGAGCUGUGUUGGCAGAGUUGUUGAAUGACUGUGGCCUCAGUUUCCUUGUCUGUGAACUAGGGCUUAUCCCACAGUUUAAAAAUUAAAUGAGUGCCAAGGCAGGUGACAAGUGUUAUGUACCAGAUCUGUAGUGACCAAUGAACCCAGAAUAUUCAGCACAAGAUGUCCCCUGAAGCUCACACUCGUGUUAGGGAAGAGGGAGAGGGACCAUCCUUCUGCAGAGGGAUCCUUACUUAUAGCCACCUGUGCAGAGCCGGCUACCAAGGUGAGGUGGAUCUGCCAACAUGGCUGAAGGUUUGUCAAGCAAAGAAAACCUAAACAUAUACACAGACAACUUUGAGGCCUGGGGUAAACUAUGUGAUUAGAGGUUCUUGUUAGUUUAGCAUCUUUUCAAAAUUUACUUGAUUUAGUCCUAUCAAUUUCUCAACGUAGGGCUGGCAUAUUUGCAUAUUCUUAACCUAGCGCCCAAAUGAGGAGAUGCUGCAGUCCAUAUAUGCUUUAUACUUACAAAAGUUUCACCUCAAAUUCUGCAGAACACUUCUGGCAUAGUAACCCUUUAAUGUUGUAUUUAUGGAUGUCUAUGCAAAGAAGAAAACAUGUAUUUUUUUCCAUCGCCCCUUAUCAUGAAAGCGGUUAUUUACAUGCAGAUGCAAAUAAGUUCAAUGUAACCAGCUAUGGUAAGUAGCCAACUGUUAAAACAUCUGAGACUACAUGUUAAAUCUUUUCUGAAGAAGCCAAAAACCAUAUUGCUUUGCAUAUCAGUAUUUACCAAAAACGCACAGAUAGGUAAUGCUCAGCAGGAUGAAAACCAAUUAUGUUUAUAUCAAUUUAUAUCAUCACUCUUUCCCAAACAUUUACUAUGUAACAGAGAACUAAGAAACUGUUGGUUCUUCUCUGUAUAA
rnacentral:lncRNA from 1 species